rnacentral:misc_RNA from 1 species
GAUGAAGAACGUAGCGAAAUGCGAUAAGUAAUGUGAAUUGCAGAAUUCAGUGAAUCAUCGAAUCUUUGAACGCACAUUGCGCCCGCCAGUAUUCUGGCGGGCAUGCCUGUUCGAGCGUCAUUUCAACCCUCAAGACCCCUUCGGGGGACUUGGUGUUGGGGACCGGCACAGGGGCCUGCCUGCUUGUCUUGCAGCGCCCUCGCCGCCCCCGAAAUGAAUUGGCGGCCUCGUCGCGGCCUCCCCUGCGUAGUAGCACAAACCUCGCAACGGGAACGUGACGGCGGCCACUGCCGUAAAACAACCCAAUUUUAUUAGAGUUGACCUCGAAUCAGGUAGGAAUACCCGCUGAACUUAAGCAUAUCAAUAAGCGAGGA